UACGUAGGCAGCAAGCGUUGUUCGGAGUUACUGGGCGUAAAGGGUGCGUAGGCGGCCGUGUAAGUGUGGUGUGAAAUCUCCCGGCUUAACUGGGAGGGUGCGCUACAGACUGCAUGGCUAGAGUGUGGGAGAGGAAAGUGGAAUUCCUGGUGUAGCGGUGAAAUGCGUAGAUAUCAGGAGGAACACCGGUGGUGUAAACGGCUUCUGGACCAUAAACUGACGCUGAUGCACGAAAGCGUGGGUAGCAAACAGG
rnacentral:rRNA from 1 species